rnacentral:rRNA from 1 species
GAUGAACGCUGGCGGCGUGCCUAAUACAUGCAAGUCGAGCGAACAGACGAGAAGCUUGCUUCUCUGAUGUUAGCGGCGGACGGGAGAGUAACACGUGGAUCACCUCCCUAUAAGUCUGGGAUCACUUCGGGAAACCGGAGCUAAUACGGGAUAAUAUUUUGAACCGCAUGGUUCAAAAGUGAAAGACGGCCUUGCUGUCACUUAUAGAUGGAUCCGCGCUGCAUUAGCUAGUUGGUAAGGUAACGGCUUACCAAGGCAACGAUGCAUAGCCGACCUGAGGGGGUGACCGGCCACACUGGAACUGAGACACGGUCCAGACUCCUACGGGAGGCAGCAGUAGGGAAUCUUCGGCAAUGGGCGAAAGCCUGACGGAGCAACGCCGCGUGAGGGAUGAAGGCCUUCGGGUCGUAAAACUCUGUUAUUAGGGAAGAACAGAUUUGGAAUUAAACGUGGAGAGCUUGACGGUACCGAAUCAGAAAGCAACGGCUAACUACGUG